UAUGAGUAGCGAAAGAGGGGUGAGAAUCCCCUCCACCGAAUGCCUAAGGUUUCCUGAGGAAGGCUCGUCCGCUCAGGGUUAGUCGGGACCUAAGCCGAGGCCGAAAGGCGUAGGCGAUGGACAACAGGUUGAUAUUCCUGUACCACCUCCUCACCAUUUGAGCAAUGGGGGGACGCAGGAGGAUAGGGUAAGCGCGGUAUUGGAUAUCCGCGUCCAAGCAGUUAGGCUGGGAAAUAGGCAAAUCCGUUUCCCAUAAGGCUGAGCUGUGAUGGCGAGCGAAAUAUAGUAGCGAAGUUCCUGAUUCCACACUGCCAAGAAAAGCCUCUAGCGAGGUGAGAGGUGCCCGUACCGCAAACCGACACAGGUAGGCGAGGAGAGAAUCCUAAGGUGAUCGAGAGAACUCUCGUUAAGGAACUCGGCAAAAUGACCCCGUAACUUCGGGAGAAGGGGUGCUCUGUUAGGGUGCAAGCCCGAGAGAGCCGCAGUGAAUAGGCCCAGGCGACUGUUUAGCAAAAACACAGGUCUCUGCGAAGCCGUAAGGCGAAGUAUAGGGGCUGACGCCUGCCCGGUGCUGGAAGGUUAAGAGGAGCGCUUAGCGUAAGCGAAGGUGCGAAUUGAAGCCCCAGUAAACGGCGGCCGUAACGAUAACGGUCCUAAGGUAACGAAAUUCCUUGUCGGGUAAGUUCCGACCCGCACGAAAGGCGCAACGAUCUGGGCACUGUCUCAACGAGAGACUCGGUGAAAUUAUAGUACCUGUGAAGAUGCAGGUUACCCGCGACAGGACGGAAAGACCCCGUGGAGCUUUACUGCAGCCUGAUAUUGAAUGUUGGUACAGCUUGUACAGGAUAGGUAGGAGCCUUGGAAACCGGAGCGCCAGCUUCGGUGGAGGCAUCGGUGGGAUACUACCCUGGCUGUAUUGACCUUCUAACCCGCCGCCCUUAUCGGGCGGGGAGACAGUGUCAGGUGGGCAGUUUGACUGGGGCGGUCGCCUCCUAAAAGGUAACGGAGGCGCCCAAAGGUUCCCUCAGAAUGGUUGGAAAUCAUUCGCAGAGUGUAAAGGCACAAGGGAGCUUGACUGCGAGACCUACAAGUCGAGCAGGGACGAAAGUCGGGCUUAGUGAUCCGGUGGUUCCGCAUGGAAGGGCCAUCGCUCAACGGAUAAAAGCUACCCCGGGGAUAACAGGCUUAUCUCCCCCAAGAGUCCGCAUCGACGGGGAGGUUUGGCACCUCGAUGUCGGCUCAUCGCAUCCUGGGGCUGUAGUCGGUCCCAAGGGUUGGGCUGUUCGCCCAUUAAAGCGGUACGCGAGCUGGGUUCAGAACGUCGUGAGACAGUUCGGUCCCUAUCCGUCGCGGGCGCAGGAAAUUUGAGAGGAGCUGUCCUUAGUACGAGAGGACCGGGAUGGACGCACCGCUGGUGUACCAGUUGUUCUGCCAAGGGCGUCGCUGGGUAGCUAUGUGCGGACGGGAUAAGUGCUGAAAGCAUCUAAGCAUGAAGCCCCCCUCAAGAUGAGAUUUCCCAUUCCGCAAGGAAGUAAGAUCCCUGAAAGAUGAUCAGGUUGAUAGGUCUGAGGUGGAAGUGUGGCGACACAUGGAGCUGACAGAUACUAAUCGAUCGAGGACUUAACC
rnacentral:rRNA from 1 species